AUGCUCGCUUCGACAGCACACAUACUAAAAUUCGAACGAUGCAGAGAAGAUUAGCAUGGCCCCUGCGCAAGGAUGACAUGUAAAUUCAUGAAGCAUUUCAUAUAUUU
rnacentral:snRNA from 1 species